rnacentral:rRNA from 1 species
UGGGGAAUAUUGCACAAUGGAGGGAACUCUGAUGCAGCGACGCCGCGUGAGUGAUGAAGGAAUUCGUUUCGUAAAACUCUGUUCUAUGGGAAGAAAAGGACUGUACCAUAGGAGAAAGCUCCGGCUAAAUACGUGCCAGCAGCCGCGGUAAUACGUAUGGAGCGAGCGUUGUCCGGAAUUAUUGGGCGUAAAGGGUGCGCAGGCGGCUUUACAAGUUGGAUGUGAAAUAUUGUGGCUCAACCACAAACGUGCAUCCAAAACUGCAAAGCUUGAGUUAAGGAGAGGUAAGUGGAAUUCCUGGUGUAGCGGUGGAAUGCGUAGAUAUCAGGAGGAAUACCGGUGGCGAGGGCGACUUACUGGACUUAAACUGACGCUCAGGCACGAAAGCGUGGGGAGCAAACAGG